rnacentral:miRNA from 1 species
UAUAUAUUUGUGUAUGUUUGUAUGUACCUGUGUGUGUGUACAUAUGUACAUACAUACACACACACACACACACACACACACACACACACA